GUGGAUCGCCUGGUCUGCAGACAACGUUACUCUAGGAAGAGGAACCAUACAGGGCUCUGAUGUACUAGUCAAUCGAGACAUAUCUACUGUACACAGGGUCACAACCAUGAGCGUUUCUGCACGUGUUGUCGAAGCAACGUAUAGCUUUGGUGACAUCCACAAAAGCUUGUACAAGCUGGUCCGUGAAAAUAGCAAGUUUGAGAACGGUCUUCUGGAGGAAACACCAACUAGUCUACCGGUGUGCGGUCGUCUCUGCCAUGUGCAUCCAUUGUGUGGGAUGUUUAGCUUUGACAGCUUCAAUGAAACAUGUGCCCUCUUCGAUAGGAUGACAUCCCAACUGAGCCAGGAUCCUCAACAUCUGUGGCAGUCUUGGGUGCCAAAGUGCUGCUAGAGACACCCAUUCUUUGCACGCGUUCAGCGUUGACGUUUGCUUUUGUUGACGCUUGACUAGUAGAUGUCCUUUGUGUGAAGAAUACCCCUUGAGGUUUAAGCAGAUUUAACUUGAAUUUAUGAAAUAUCUUACACAUUUUACACAGUUGUUGGGGUCUGUAAACUCCUCAAACUAUUCUUAUCUCAUUUGCAAGUAUGCAUUCACAAUGUUAACUGAUGUCUUUUGUGCGUAAACGUGUAAACCUCUGAAGGGAGGAAGUUUUAUUUUAGGUCUACUUGAAUUAGUUGUUGAAAAACAAUUCUGUAAAUAUACUCACCGCCAAAAGAAACGCGAACCAUAGAAACAUAUACAGAAAUAUGUAAGUGAAGAAGAGGUGUUUCCAAUGUGUACCUAUUAAUGACAAAACUAACAAUCAGUCAAGAGUUACCACAGAGCGUCUUUAUUCUUAUCACGAUAUGCUGCACGUUAUUUCCAAACUUUACUGGUUAAUCCUUCACGAGACAAAUGGAGGCUCUCGAGCCAUGGACCUUUGACGUCACAUGUGAUGCGUUCAAGAGAAUCGGUUCACACAACUUAGCAGUAUGUCCGUUUAUGCAUCAAUCAAUCUAAUAUUUUUUUAAUAUGAGUAAGUCUUCAUAUAUUAACCAACGUGUAUGGUAUUCGCGUUUCUUUUUGCGGUGAGUAAAUAUUCAUACCGUGAACAUGUUUCGUGCUUAUUUUACUGGUUGUGCUUAAGAAGCUUGAACAUAAUAUCAGGACAUCUCUGAACUAUAUGGUAAAAGGGAAAAAUUAACUUUCAAUUCACAAAACCUUAAGAUGUAUGUUUUUAUGAGAUAAUUAAGGACAAUUUUAAGUA